rnacentral:lncRNA from 10 species
GGCAGGGACUCGCUGGACUGUGAGGAGAAGCAGUGUGUCCUCACCUUUCCACCUUCCUCUGGCCACAGCUUUAGCUGCUGAAUGAUAACAAGGCUGCCUGCCGAUCUCAUAAGAGGGCAUCUUGGGCAAGGCAAGGAGAAAGGGCUUUGGAGUCUUGAGUUCAAAUCCCGGCUCCCCCAGCUGCUGUGCAACCGUGAUGUAUGACAGCCUCUCUGGGCCUCAGUGUUUGUAUCUGCAAGAUGAGGCUCUGACAUAGACCUGAUUAGGUUAUGGUGAGGAUUACACAAUCCCUGCUUGAAAGGCACCUGGCUUGUUCUGAGUAAACCCUGUGACUCCCUUUAAUUCCUGGUGGGUGGCUUGCUUGUGCCCUCAUGAGGUUCAGCACUUGGCAGUACCCUGUCACCUGUUCAUCAUUAGCAAUGACGGACGCAAUGCUUCCUCUGUGACAAAGCCUCAUCCGACAGAGCAGGACUGCAGGGCUUCUCCAGGGCUUGGGGAGGGGGACAAGGGCAGUGCGCACAGUUCCUUUUUGUUUGCUGAUGCCACACUAGGCACGUGAAAGGGCUGGGUCAGAGAACCCAGCUUGGCCCACGCUGUCUCGGUUGGUGGCCGUCCUCACCUUCCUCACCCUUCAGAUCCCGUAGGGAGCCCCUGCGGUGGUGCCAUGGACGGGAAGCAUCCCACCGUGCUUGUGGCUCACCUCGAGGUCCAGGUGUCACUGCAUGGCCUGAAAAGGACUGUCUCCGAGCAGAACAAGCUCAUGACCAAGAACAAAGAGGACAUCUUGACCGUGUAAGUAAUGAUGACCGCUCUGUCCCCAGCUCAUAGGGACCCUGAGGACUCCAGGUUGCCUCCCUAUGUUGGCUCCUGAUUCAAGCAGAUGGCAGGGGGGUGUGUCCCAAGGAGCUGGGUGCUGAUGUCAGGAGCCCAGCACCCUUGUGGAAGCCAAGAACGACACUGAGGGGGCAAGAAGAGACUGUGAUGAGCUAAGUGAUGGUGUUGUCCCCAGCACGCAACAAGGGCUGGUGCGGCAACUGGCGACCUGAGAGGGAGGGCUGGUCCCAGCAGGGAGGUGUUCAUAGAAGGGAGAGAUUUUCGGUGAGGAGUGGCAGCACAGUCAUUCUCAACCCAGUGUGUCUUGGGAGAUGCCUAUGGGGUGGAAGUUGGAUGAUCAGGCUGUUAUUGGGUCAAUCUGAUUCAAGGAGAGGGAGGAGAGGUGACGUGGCCAGAAGGAGGGCAGGAGGGUGGACAGCAGAGAAUGCAGCCGGCCACCCGGGCCAUCCCCCUUGCCUCCACUCACUCAUCCUUUCCCACCCCUGGGCCGAGGAUGCGUCUCAUUAGGUAGUUUUCAGAUGGGUAAACUGAGGCAGGAGCCAUUCCAGGCCCAGAGAGGAGAGCCAGGAAGGCACGUGUUGUAAUCCCUGGGUUAGUUUUUCAUUCACACACAGGGGAACCUCUCCAGCCCUGCCACUCACUAGUUUUAAGAGGCUCAAGUGUUCUGAUUCCUGGCAGCAGCAACGUGGUAAUGCUUCUUUCUUGUUCCCUCCCUGAUCCCUUCUUCCCUCAUGCUUGAGGGCUUGGCCCCGCUUUUCUCCAUGUAUUUCCACCAGGGUGCCACACUGCCUGGAAUUGCAACCGCUGGGGCCUUGUCCAGUUUAUUAUCUCUCACCACAGGUGCAGGAAGGAGGCAGGGAGCAGGGCUGUGUCGCAGAGCAAGGCCAGGGCAUCCCACCCCACCAUGGCCGCCCAUCCCCAUGGCCUCCCUCAAGAUCAGGAAACUGCUCCACAUUGCAGUAACUAAGUGCACCAGGCGUGGCUGCUGGUGAGGGGUGGUCAGGCAGCACCUGUGGCCAGCCUAAAGGAAGGUCAAGGUUUGUGAAGGCAUCUGGUGCCUCCCCUGUUGAAAUUUCUUUUUCUCCUCCUUAUUAGUUGAAUCUUAAGAAUUGACAGUACCAUAAAACGUGAAACCUUUAUUUCUGCUUUUUAAAUGGAAAACCGGGCUGGGCACAGCGGCUCAUGCCUAUAAUCCCAGCACUUUGGGAGGCUGAGGUGGGCAGAUCGGCUGAGGUCAGGAGUUCAAGAUCAGCCUGGCCAACAUGGUGAAACCCCAUCUCUACUAAAAAUACAAAAAUUAGCCAGGCAUGGUGGCACAUGCCUGUAACCCCAGCUACUCAGGAGGCUGAGGCAGGAGAAUCGCUUAAACCCAGGAGGCGGAGGUUGCAGUGAGACGAGAUUGCGCCAUUGCACUCCAGCCUGGGUGGCAGAGUGAGACUCCACCUCAAAAAAAAGAAAAAAGGAAAACCAAGCAAAAGUCACUGUCAGGGGACCUCCCACCCACCAUACAGGGGAACACUCGGCAGAGCCAGAGGCCUGGGCCCAAGUCCUGCCACCAGCUGGCUGUGAAACUGUGGUACAGCACCUUGUGUCCUGCCACCAGCCGGCUGUGAAACUGGUACAGCACCUUGUCCUCAGGUCCUUGGUUUCCUCACUUGUAAAUUCAUGGUUCUCCAUGGCAUCUCUGGUCUUCAACAUUAUUUUGCAUAGAGUCUCAGAAGCUUUAGUGUGAGCGGAUGAUAUGGGCACGAAGCAAGGCACCCAGAAGUGGGGGCAACUACUCUGCUUUCUAAAAUGCAAGGGAACCGGAAAAUCCAGGAGCCGUGCCAAAUGAGAAGAGGAACAAAUGGAGGAACAUCCCAGUCAAGUGACAUUCCUAGUGACAUUCACCAGAACAGAGUCAAGCUUUGGAUCCCAUGUUCUGUGACUUCCUCUUCACCACGCUUCCUCCACACACGUAGCAGCUCAAGGGUUUCUGAUGAGUGGGAGGCUUGACUAGAAUUGAAUUCGAGACAAGCACAAAGAUCAUGAUGCAAAUGAAAGGGACAGAGGGGAGAGAAACAGAAAACAAGUGAGUCAAAUUUGGUCUAUGUUCCCUUUAUGAGCUGUAACGCACACCAUGAAGGUCUGCGGCUUGGCUAUUGAGUCAGUGAGAGCGUGAACCUACUAUUAGAAGAAAAACUCUGAAUACGUCUGAACGUCAGAAAGAACGAAGUUUGGACACAUUGUCUUUAAGAACUGUAACACUCACCCCAAGGGUUUAUGGAUUCAUUCUUGAAAUCAGUGAAACCAAAAGCUUUCCAAAGUUUAACACACAGGGAAAUGACUUACUGCAAAGAACCACUCUUCCCCACGAGACUUCGAGAAGACCCGCUGUCACGGACUGAGUUGUGUCCUCUUAAAAUUCAGAUGUUGGAGUCCAAACCCCCAGUAACUCAGAGUGUGAACGUAUUUGAAGAGGUCUUUAAAGAGGUGAUGAAGGGAGAGAGACCCCAUGAGCUCGUCAAGCUCCUUCUGUGACUGAUCAGAGAUCCCACCGUGAGUCCAGCUCCUGGUCCCAUGCUCUGGAUAUAUCGGUCCCUGGCAGCGUGGCUCCAUCUCCGUAGCCUGCUUUUGACAAAAGUGGAUACAUAAAUCUAGGGGCCACCUAGCUAGUUCUAAUAAGACUUUGGAAGUCAAAAGCUAAAGAAGACCAGGGGACCAAGCUGGAAAUCAGGCUCUGCAAUCAGAUUCCAGAGGGAAUGCCAUUCCACCCAAUCACCUAGCCACAACGGUUCCCUUCCUUCAAGAUGCUGCAUGCCUCUUCAGGCGAAUGGAUUACCUUGUAAGAGUGACCUGAAAAAGCGUUAGCCCAGCCACACCGAGGCUUAACUGAGCCAUUUGAUUCUCACUGCCUCUCUCUGUUGCUUCCUCUUGCUUUCAACUACAGGGUCUUUCUGUUUAGGUGGUGAAAAAAAUGAUCGUUAAAAACAAUAAACCUGGGGACCUCUGAUACCAUGAGCCCAGCCAGAGAUCUGUGUCAAGCAAAUCCUUGCAGACAGUUCUGCCAGCCUGCAGAUGGCUGUUUGCCUCUCGUGGAUUUGAUAAGUGCUCAUUUAUGCCCAGAGGCCUCUGGGAGAUAGUGCUCAUGCUGAGCUUACAAACUGAAAACCAUUAUCUGUUCCUUACCUGAGACCCUGGGGAGCAGUCAGCUCACUCCCUGCCGAUGGCCUAAGAUAGGUACUGAUGUUACAGUUGAGGAAUAUCUAGGAGUAACAAACUUAAGUAGCUGGAAUAUGCCAAUUUUGACAAUUUGACAACAUCAUUAUAAACAUUCUGAAGUACUUACAAGUCUUUUUUUUUUUUUUUUUUUUUUUUGGGAGACAGAGUCUUACUUACUCUGUCACAGACUAAAGUGCAGUGGCGUGAUCUCGG